CCUCCCCGCUCCCGCGGGAUCCGGGUCGGCGGGGGCCGGCGCCGGGCGGCCACGUGGUGGUGCUGCCGCUGCCCCCGCCCCGCCGGCCCAGCCCGGGAGCCGCGGCGCCCACUGACCCCCGCAGCGGGGGAGGAGGAGGAGGGACCGAGGCGCAGGAAGCCGAGCAGGAAGCGAGCCCGGCGGCCGCGUUUUCCUGGGGAAGCGGCGGGCGGGGGGGCGCAGCCAGCGGGGCCCGGGAGCCGCCGCCGUCUCGAUGGGGUGCUGAAGGAAUCUUCUAGAUCUUCUAGAGCGUGGGAAGGCUGAAUGGGCUCAACAUGAAGAGCCUGAAAGCGAAGUUCAGGAAGAGUGACUUUGUUGGCACUCAGCUGCCUAACUGCUUCCCUUUUGCAAGACCAAAAAGAAGAAAAAGAAAAAAAGGAAAUAGCACAUGGCAUCUUGUGAAUAGUUUGCGG
rnacentral:lncRNA from 1 species